AUGUGACUAGCCCAGUUGGUAGAGCAUGAGACGCUUAAUCACAGGGUAGUGAGUUCGAGCCCCACAUUGUGCA